AUGCGGUUUCGUCACUUGUCAAAGGUUAGUGUUGCUGAGGUUAGAACUGGGUCCCACUUUGAUCUGAUUCCAAAGCCUGAUCCCUUAACUAGUGUGUGGAGCUGACUGCAGGGAGACUGCUACACCCAGGAAGAGCUGCAGCUGUCUCAGUGGCAGCGUGGAACCAAGGUCUACAGUGGCUGCUGAGGUCAGACUUGAAGAAAUGACUCACAUGCAAGGCUGAUCUACAUAAGUAGCCUGUGCUAAGACUGCCAUCUGGUAGAACAAUCUACAUCACACGACUCCACGUUUCCUGUUACCCAAGAUUUUUUUAGUGAAAGAGUAACAGAACAGAGCCUCAGUAACAGCAGAGGAGGAAGGAGAAGAAAAUUCUACUUGCUCAUGAAGACUCAAGAUCUGCUCAGGGCAACUAGAAAAUUUAGCCCUGGUGAAGCCAAGAUAAUCUAUGGGCCACAUUCCCCUAAUCUUGUUAUUGAAAUCCUUCUAUUGCAUCAGAAAAAAAGUUAUUUAUCAGUUGACUGUAAGAGGAAUUAUUGCAUAGUCUUUUGUAUAUGAGACCAGAGAGAACGUGCAGAGAUUGUAUUUUACAUUGUAUCUGAAACACAGAUGCUCUGCUCAUAAACAUUCCUCAUGCCUUCUUCAAGCUGUCCAAGCAAAAUAUGAUUUGCUUUUAAAUUUGAAUAUCUUUAAAAAUUAACAAAUUUAAGACUGUCCUAUCUCAAUCUCCCACAUACUAGGAUGGUGGAUGUGUGCCACCUUUUCCGGCCAUGACGUAACAUGUUUAACUGAUUCCUUCUUCUUCAGCAUCUCCAUGCUCUGCAGGUGCAGCUUCGAUGGACCAUGGCCAUAUUGCCCCACUACUAUCAAUCACACUGAGAUGUAGUCCACAGCAUUCAACAAGCCACCACUCAUGGGAUAGAGGAUAGGCAAAAGGAACAACUAAGACAGUAGAGGAGCCCAGCACUCCGAACCCCUAAUCAUGCCUUCGGUGGAUUCCUUUGGUAAAGUUUUCCUUUGUGGGUUUCUUUCAGCACUUGACCCAUAGCCCAUGGAAUGUGUCAGCUCUAAUUGCCUGUGUGGAUUGGCACAAGUCGUGCCUCAAAAUUGGAAUGUUGUCACAUAUAACAUAGCCUUUCAGAGGGAUAAAUGUGGAAAAUGUUUUACCCAUGAAUUCCUUAGAAGCAAUUGUGCUCUAUCACGUGAAAGGCUGAAGACCUGGACAGAACCUAAUGACUAUAUCCCCAAGAUCCCCAAGGUUCAGUGGCUUUCAGGAUGUUGCUCUCCCUGACUCCAUGGACAUCACAGAAUGACAGUUGUCCACUGGAGUAUUCUUCACCCAGGCAGCUUUCUAAAAAAAGGAAAUUUGAGAGUUGCAAGGACAGAUGAAGGGGCUGAGGGCCUGGGAUCCCUUUAUGUGAGACUCAUUAUUGAAGAACAACUUAUACAAUUAUUAUCUGAGGACCAGGUGACAGCUGUCAAGAAGGCCUCCUUGUAAGAGGGUGCAGAAUAUAUGAAAUUUGUCUUUAGGUGAUGAUCUACUACUAAGAGUGAUGCUAUGAGGUUGGCAUCUAAGGAAAAGAAAAGAGGCUGGCAUAUGGUGAGCACCUAGUCUGUGCCAUGAAUUGUGAACUUAACCUUGAAUUCUCGUAUGUUCAUCUAAGGUCUGUUUUCUUUAAGGAGAGAUUGUGACCCUCUUGGUCUGGUAUGCAAGCUGUGAUGAAUACAGAGCUCUUCAGAUGGA
rnacentral:lncRNA from 1 species